UACAGAGGUCUCAAGCGUUGUUCGGAUUCAUUGGGCGUAAAGGGUGCGUAGGUGGCAUGGUAAGUCGGAUGUGAAAGCCCGGGGCUUAACUCCGGGUCUGCAUUCGAUACGGGCAGGCUAGAGUGUGGUAGGGGAGAUCGGAAUUCCUGGUGUAGCGGUGAAAUGCGCAGAUAUCAGGAGGAACACCAAUGGCGAAGGCAGAUCUCUGGGCCGUAACUGACGCUGAGGAGCGAAAGCAUGGGGAGCGAACG
rnacentral:rRNA from 1 species